UACAGAGGUCUCAAGCGUUGUUCGGAUUCAUUGGGCGUAAAGGGCGCGUAGGCGGCCUGCUAAGUCGAACGUGAAAUCCCCGGGCUCAACCCGGGAACUGCGUCCGAUACUGGCAGGCUUGAAUCCGGGAGAGGGAUGUGGAAUUCCAGGUGUAGCGGUGAAAUGCGUAGAUAUCUGGAGGAACACCGGUGGCGAAGGCGGCAUCCUGGACCGGCAUUGACGCUGAGGCGCGAAAGCCAGGGGAGCAAACGGG
rnacentral:rRNA from 1 species